CUCCAAACUGAAUUUAAUUAUUUAAACUCGAUAGUGAAUACGAUAUACAAGCUUUUACUUUAAGUCAUUAUGCAUUUGUGACGUAAAUUCCGGAUAUUUGCAUACCAAAAAACCCCUGAAAUAUCUCAGAAAGAAGGUGGAUGAGCAAAUAAAAAUCUUCAAAAUAAGUUAUUAUGUCAUUUCCGAAAUUCUUAUGAAUGAGAUGAUAAAACGAAUUGAGAUUAGGUGCACUUUAACAGUAACAAUUGAACAGUGGCAUGGAUUAAUACAUUGUCGGAAGAUUCUGCAUCUCUAUUGUUCUGGCAAUAUCAGUCAUAACCAAUUAUGUUGUUUUCACUUUAUUUUGAUCAAGUCAGUCCGGUUAGUGUUUUGUAUAGCCAUAAAAUAUCAAUAGUUUUUGACUCAGAUAGUUUCUGAAUUAUCGUGCUGACAUAAGCGCGGAUGAAAUAUCUGUAUUUCUAUGUGUGUGCACGUGACUGGCGAAGGUAUUUCAACCUACCAUGCACCUACCACCUCUCAUAUCUGUGCUUAUAUAUGCAAGAAAGUAAUGAGUUGGAGGUGGGGUAUUGCACGCAUAAUAUUUCAUGCCCUUUAUAUGGUAAUGCUGAAGUUAAUAAGUAUAUUUGUGCUUGUGCGAAGUGCUGUGAAUAUAUGUUUCGAAGAACCGUGUUGAAUGCUCGAUAAAAGUUAUCUUUUCAACCAGGUUAACUUCAACAAAUAUGUCAGAUGAUUUGUAAUCAUAAUGUUGUGCCUGGAUUACAAAUCUUCGGAUAUAUUUGUUUCUAUAUAUAUAUAUA